AGCGAACGCUGGCGGCGUGCCUAACACAUGCAAGUCGAACGUGAACGGGGGCAACCCUUAGUAAAGUGGCGUACGGGUGAGUAACACGUAGGUAAUCUACCCUAGAGUCUGGAAUAACCGGCCGAAAGGCUGGCUAAUACUGGAUAGAGCGACGGAACUCGUAAAGAGUUUUUCGGGAAAGGGUGCUCGCAAGAGCCCUCGCUUUAGGAUGAGCCUGCGUCCCAUCAGGUAGUUGGUAGGGUAAUGGCCUACCAAGCCUUUGAUGGGUAGCUGGUCUGAGAGGAUGAUCAGCCACACUGGAACUGAAACACGGUCCAGACUCCUACGGGAGGCAGCAGUGGGGAAUCUUGCGCAAUGGGCGAAAGCCUGACGCAGCCACGCCGCGUGAGUGAAGAAGGCCUUCGGGUUGUAAAGCUCUGUCGGGAGGGACGAACAUCAUUGGUGUUAACAGCGCCAGUGACUGACGGUACCUCCAAAGGAAGCACCGGCUAACUUCGUGCCAGCCGCCGCGGUAA
rnacentral:rRNA from 1 species